rnacentral:tRNA from 1 species
UUUCAUAUAUUUUAUUUAGAAUUUAAUAUUGAAGAUAUUAAGGUGAUUUUUUUCUAUGAAAA